rnacentral:lncRNA from 1 species
UUCUUCUUCUCCUUCUUCUUCUUCUUCUCCUUCUUCUCCUUCUUCUUCUCCUUCUUCUCCUUCUUCUUCUCCUCUUCCUUCUCCUUCUCCUCCUCCUCCUCCACCUCCUUUUUCUUCUUCUUCUCCUCUUCCUUCUCCUUCUCCUCCUCCUUCUUUUACUUCUUCUUCUCUUUCUCUUCUCCAAUAGUUAGCUAGGGUUCCACCUAAAU